CCCCAUAACCGUCCUCUACUCUCUUCUUUCUUCCUCUGGCCCUGUUAUUCCACUGAUUAAAAAAUCUUUUCUCGAUCUUCUUUUUUUUAGGUCAUUGGGGUUUGAUUGCUCCAGAUGGACCUGAUCGCUCCCCUGCGUGACAUGGGAGAUCACGUAGUGCACAAAGUAACGGAACUUCUUAUUUUCCACAUUACUGAAUUCGCUCUUUCCAUCUGGAAAGUUAGAGCAAAUUGAGCUAGAGUUAGCCAAACCCCCGACGGUGGUGGUGUUGAGGAGUGCUAUGUGCUGGCAAGUGAAUCCGAUGGGAGUAAUGGACAGGGAUAAUGCAGAGGAUAUGAGUAUGGUCGAGAGGUUUCUUGAAGAGGUGGGAUGGAAGAGGGACAUAAAGGGGGGAAAUAACAUGGAUUAUUAGAUGACGGGAUUCAAAAAUGAGGCUUCAAAGAAGCUUCAGGCUUAGCCCAUUCUUGAGGUUGCAAUUGUACAAGAUGCAGAUCGUCUGGAGUUUGUGGAAGGCCUCACUGGGAUGAGAGCUGCUUGUGAACUUACCGCCCAUGUACUGAACUUUGCGCGAACAUUGGUCAAGG